rnacentral:rRNA from 1 species
AGUGAACGCUGGCGGUAGGCCUAACACAUGCAAGUCGAACGGCAGCACAGUAAGAGCUUGCUCUUACGGGUGGCGAGUGGCGGACGGGUGAGGAAUACAUCGGAAUCUACUUUUUCGUGGGGGAUAACGUAGGGAAACUUACGCUAAUACCGCAUACGACCUACGGGUGAAAGCAGGGGAUCUUCGGACCUUUCGCGAUUGAAUGAGCCGAUGUCGGAUUAGCUAGUUGGCGGGGUAAAGGCCCACCAAGGCGACGAUCCGUAGCUGGUCUGAGAGGAUGAUCAGCAACACUGGAAGUGAGACACGGUCCAGACUCCUAAGGGAGGCAGCAGUGGGGAAUAUUGGACAAUGGGCGCAAGCCUGAUCCAGCCAUACCGCGUGGGUGAAGAAGGCCUUCGGGUUGUAAAGCCCUUUUGUUGGGAAAGAAAAGCAGCAGGUUAAUACCCCGCUGUUCUGACGGUACCCAAAGAAUAAGCACCGGCUAACUUCGUG